UUUAACACAUGCUAGUCUAAUGUAUUCAAUAUACAUGGCGUACAGGUGAGUAAUACGCAAGAAUUCUACCUUGUGGACUAAGGUAAACUUAGAUAGUAGUAAAUAGUAAAUACUGCCACAAGAUGUGCUUGCGCCAAGAUUAGGUUGAUGGUGGGGUAACGGCUCACCAUGCCUAUAAUCUUUAGCUGGUCUGAGAGGACGAUCAGCCACAUUGGGACUGAGAUAAGGCCCAAGCUUUUGCCAGCAGUGGGGAAUAUUGGACAAUAAGCGAAAGCUGGAUCCAGUAAUAUUGCGUUAGUGAGGAAGGCACUAAAGAUUUAAGUGUUUGGUUUGGGUAAAACUAAGCUAGACUCUCAAAUUGGCUGUAAAACUAUUUCGUUAGUGAGGAUAAUGACUUUAACUAAAGAAGAAACUCCGGCCAACUUCGUGCCAGCAGCCGCGGUAAUACGAAGGGAGUGAGCGUUAUUCAUAAUGAUUGGGCGUAAAGGGUUCGUAGAUUGACAAUUUAAUCUUUGGUGAAAUUUUAAGUGAAAUUAAAACUGCCUUAGAUAUUGGUUGUCUAGAGUGAAUUAGAGGAUAAUAGAAUUUUAUAAAGAGGAGUGAAAUCUUUUGAUCUAUCAAGGAAUGCCAGAGGCGAAAGCGAUUAUCUAGAAUAUCACUGACAUUGAGGAACGAAGGCGUGGGGAGCAAACAGGAUUAGGUACCCUGGUCGUCCACGCAGUCAAAGAUGAAUGCUAAUAUUUGGUAUUGGCCAAUUAUAAAGUUAACACGUUAAGCAUUCCGCCUGGGAAGUACGAUCGCAAGAUUGGAACUCAAAGGAAUUGACGGGGAUCUACACAAGUGGUGGAGCAUGUGGUUUAAUGCGAUAGUACACGCGAA
rnacentral:rRNA from 1 species